AACAUGUAUAAUUAAAUUAAUUAAUUAUAAGUUAAUGAUUAUUUAACAUUUGACUCCUAUUAUAAAAAGAUUUGAGUCUUUUUCUCUUUUUUUUAGCUCAGUGACAGACGUUCCUCCUCCAGACACUGAUGACCUCGUUUCAGAAACAGCACCCUUUGCCCAGGAAACCGUCUCCCAGACAGAACUUCCUGGUGACACCCAGACGACACUUCCUGUUGAAACAGCUCCUCUGACAGAAAGCGGGGCCCUGGUGUCAGCUCCGGCCCCUGAAGCAGCUUCCAGCCCAAACACACAGCGUCUCUCAGAGUCUCUGGAGGAAGAGCUCGCCUCAAACACUGACAUCUACUUUACUCCAGAGGACAGGAGUUGGGUUUAUUCGCCCCUGCAUUACGGCUCAGAGCCUCACAGUGAAAGCGACACAUACAGUAACCUGGAUGUUCAGUAGACGUCUCUCUGUGGCUCUGAAGAGGUUUUGCUGUUCUCCAGGAUGGAUUCUGCUCGUCUGAGCACGAGCGAGACGAACUGAAGAACCUUCCAGACAAAAACCCUGUUCCUUUUCUACCUGGGUGCCACUUCCUGAUCGAUUCCCCUCGAGAACAACGUUAGCUCUCAGAAAAUCCAGUGUGUGUUUGUGAAUCCAGACGUCAGGACAUGCAUCGACUCCCUCAAAUAAGUUACUGACGACCCAUAAUGCACUAGACUAGAUUUAAUGUCUUCAAUCAUUCCAUGAGCUCCUCUGAACGAUGUGACUCUUCCUCAUCGGUCACUAUCCAUGCGUCCAGCGUGGUGCUUCCUCAUUAUGCAAUAUGAACUCCUCCCCGUGAUUGCAUGUAAUUACAUGAUAUAGUUGUAUUUUGUGUACAUCUGAGAUGUUCGGAGUGGAAUACAGUUAAAAUAUGCGAUAAAAAGUAAAGAUUGGAGACUGAAAGCAUGACUGAAAACAUAUCAUGUGACGCUCGAAGCUGCUGUGAAACCGCUGGAGCCGCAACAUAUCAACAUCACGUAUGAAUCAAGCGGGAAUCAUGUGAGUCGUGUCUUUUUCUAUCAGUCGUGUUGUCAUUUCUCAGUCAGAUGUGCUGCUUUUUGUAUAUUAUUUCUCUGUAUUUUUCAUAAGUCAGAUGAAUUUUAUUAUAGAUCAAACGUUGGUCUGUUUCAGAUUGUGUUCAUUAAAACAUGCAGAAUUCCCUCUAUUCAGGUCAACAUGCUGCAGAAAAACAUUCACUUAAUACUUUUAAUCUUGUUUUUAAAUAAAUUCUUAAACAUCCUUAAAACA
ensembl:lncRNA